UCCUGGUUAACCCAGGCAGUCUCGUUAGAGUGCCCAACAUUACUUGAUGGCAACUAACGACAAGGGUUGCGCUCGUUGCGGGACUUAACCCAACACCUCACGGCACGAGCUGACGACAGCCAUGCAGCACCUGUUCAUAUGUCCCUUGCGGGAACACUUAAUCUCUUAAGCUGUCAUAUGUAUGUCAAGACCAGGUAAGGUUCUUCGCGUUGCAUCGAAUUAAACCACAUGCUCCACUGCUUGUGCGGGUCCCCGUCAAUUCUUUUGAGUUUCAGCCUUGCGACUGUACUUCCCAGGCGGUAUACUUAUCGCGUUAGCUACGGCACAGUCGGGGUUGAGUCCGACUACGCCAAGUAUACAUAGUUUAAGGCAAGGACUAC
rnacentral:misc_RNA from 1 species